UCCCUGGUGGUCCAGUGGUUAAGAUUCUGCUUUUCCAAUGCAGGGAGUGCAGGUUUGAUCCCUGGUCCAGGAA
rnacentral:tRNA from 1 species